GGCCCGCUGGCGCAACGGUAGCGCGUCAGAUUCCAGAUCAUAUGGAGAUUCCUGAAGGUUACCUGUUCGAAUCAGGUGUGGGUCA
rnacentral:tRNA from 1 species